UACAGAGGAUGCAAGCGUUAUCCGGAAUGAUUGGGCGUAAAGCGUCUGUAGGUGGCUUUUUAAGUCCGCCGUCAAAUCCCAGGGCUCAACUCUGGACAGGCGGUGGAAACUACCAAGCUGGAGUACGGUAGGGGUAGAGGGAAUUCCUGGUGUAGCGGUGAAAUGCGUAGAGAUCAGGAAGAACACCGGUGGCGAAAGCGCUCUGCUGGACCUUAACUGACACUGAGGGACGAAAGCUAGGGGAGCGAAUGGG
rnacentral:rRNA from 1 species